rnacentral:lncRNA from 1 species
CCCGUCAGGAGGACCCGUCCAUCCGCCCUCGGUUGCCGUAUUCCUGUACCUCAGCCCUCGGUUGCCCUAUUCCCAUCAGGAAGACACGUCCCUCAGCCCUCGGUUGCCCUAUUCCCUUCAGGUAGACACGUCCCUCAGGCCUCGGUUGCCCUAUACCCGUCAGGAGGACCCGUCCCUCAGCCCUCAGUUGCCGUAUUCGUGUCAGGAGGUCCCGUCACUCAGCCCUCGAUUGCCCUAUUCAUCUCAGGAGGACCCGUCCCUCCGCCCUCGGUUGCCCUAUUCCCGUCAGGAGGACCCGUCCCUCAGCCCUUGGUUGCCGUAUUCCCAUCUGGAGGACCCGUCCCUCAGCCCUCGGUUGCCGUAUACCCGUCCGGAGGACCCGUCCCUCAGCCCUCGGUUGCCGGAUUCCUGUACCUCAGUCCUCUGAGGCCCUAUUCACAUC